GCUAUUUAUUUUAUUUUAAAAUUUUUAUUUGUGGAUUAAAAAAUUUUUUAGCUU
rnacentral:tRNA from 1 species